AUGGACGCGAUGCCGCCGGAGGGCAUUGUGAAGGAGGAGGAGGUGCUGCUGCACGAGGAGCACACGCACCCGCAGGCGGGGCCGCAGCAGCAGCAGCAGCGGCAGGACGGGGCGCUUCCGCGGCCGAUGGAGGGGCUGCACGAGGCCGGGCCGCCGCCGUUUCUCACCAAGACGUACGACCUGGUGGAGGACCCGGCCACGGACCAGGUCGUGUCCUGGGGCCGCGCCGGCAACACCUUCGUCGUCUGGGACCCGCACGUCUUCGCCGAGGCCCUGCUCCCGCGCCUCUUCAAGCACUCCAACUUCUCCAGCUUCGUCCGCCAGCUCAACACCUAUGGAUUCAGAAAGGUUGAUCCUGACAGAUGGGAGUUUGCAAAUGAAGGUUUCCUUAGGGGUCAGAGGCAUCUUCUCAAGAUGAUCAAGAGAAGGAAGCCGCCAUCCAAUGCGCCCUCAUCACAGCAGCAGGCCCUCACAUCUUGCCUGGAGGUUGGUGAGUUUGGAUUUGAGGAAGAGAUCGACAGGCUCAAGCGCGACAAGAACCUUUUGAUCACAGAGGUAGUGAAGCUAAGGCAGGAGCAGCAAGCUACUAAGGAUAACGUGCAAGCCAUGGAAGGCAGGCUACGUGCUGCUGAACAGAGACAGGCCCAGAUGAUGGGGUUCUUGGCAAGAGCAAUGCGUAACCCACACUUCUUCCAACAAUUAGUCCAGAAGCAAGAUAAGAGGAAGGAGCUUGAGGAUGCCAUCUCGAAGAAAAGAAGGCGGCCUAUAGACAAUGCUCCAUUUUAUGGUCCCGGGGCGACAACAAGUCAGAGCGAGCAACUUGAUUCACAGUUCCUGUUUGAUUCUGGUGUCCUCACUGAACCUGGAAUGAAUGGGAUGGAGAAUUUAGCGCAGAACAUUCAGGAGCUUGGGCAGGGCAAAACAGACGAGGAGAAGAAGGAUGAAGCUAAUGGGCAGCUGGAUAUCAACAACGAUUUCUGGGCAGAGCUAUUUUCUGAUGAUUUUGGAGACGGAGACGGGUCUGGGCUGUCAGAGUUGGAGGGAAGGAGACCUGAAGAUAUCGAUGAACUGGCUCAGCAGUUGGGAUUUAGUUGA
rnacentral:rRNA from 1 species